GGAGGGGGGGUGCUGUGUUUAGGUGAUGUAAAGUUUUAGGGUUCAGGGUUUUUUACGGUUUAGGGUUUAUAGUAGAGAGGCAAGGGCGGCGGCGGGCGGCGGGGAAGGGUGAUGAUGGCGGAAGGGAUGGUGGAUGGGGGGAUGGUGGCGAAGAGAUGGUGGGAUGUGGGCUAAAAGAGAUAGAGAAGAGAAAUUGAGAGACAUAUAUAUAUAGGAGAAAUUGAGAGAGAAUGAGAGAAGAGAAAUUAAAAAACAAAUAAAAUAAAUGAGAGAUUAAUUCUAACCAUUUAUCAAAAUUGACGAAUGAUUAAAAAUUUAGGAGCACAAGGACUGCUAUACGCUUAAUAAAUAGUAGUCUUGCUCUACAUAUAUACAUAUGCACAACAAAAUCAUAUCCACC
rnacentral:lncRNA from 1 species